CAAUUAAAAUACAGUAAUGAUGACAUCUGCAGCAUACAUGAUGAUCAAAGCAGAGAUUGCCCACACAGCUUCUGACAUGAAAACAGUGUGUUUGGCGGCGGACUGACACAGAGUAACAGAUACUGCCAGACCUGCUGACACCGCUGCAUUUUCUGUUUCUUUGCAAUGGAUUUUUUUGUCUCACCUUUGCUUCCGACUGUUUGGUGGAGACCAUUUUGUUCUUCUGUCCCGGGUUUUGUGUGUGUCACUGGCAAAUGAAAUUGUUCAGCAUGGAAAGAAAUGCACGUCACUGUUGACAUUAUGCAAAACAAUCCGGUGAUAACGGUUUGAUGGAAGUUACAUCAGGGUUUCCAUCUGUGAACAAAAGCAAAGAAAUAUUUGUCAAACUAUUUUAAUAAAGAUAACAACUAACAUA